GAUGAACGCUGGCGGCGUGCCUAAUACAUGCAAGUCGAGCGAACAGAUAAGGAGCUUGCUCCUUUGACGUUAGCGGCGGACGGGUGAGUAACACGUGGGUAACCUACCUAUAAGACUGGGAUAACUUCGGGAAACCGGAGCUAAUACCGGAUAAUAUUUCGAACCGCAUGGUUCGAUAGUGAAGGUUGUUUUGCCUUUACCUUUUAGAUGACCCGCGCCGUAUUAGCUAGUUGGUAAGGUAACGGCUUACCAAGGCGACGAUACGUAGCCGACCUGAGAGGGUGAUCGGCCACACUGGAACUGAGACACGGUCCAGACUCCUACGGGAGGCAGCAGUAGGGAAUCUUCCGCAAUGGGCGAAAGCCUGACGGAGCAACGCCGCGUGAGUGAUGAAGGUCUUCGGAUCGUAAAACUCUGUUAUUAGGGAAGAACAUACGUGUAAGUAACUGUGCACGUCUUGACGGUACCUAAUCAGAAAGCCACGGCUAACUACGUG
rnacentral:rRNA from 1 species